AAAGAAAAAGUGUACAUCCAUAAAAAUGGCACCUGUGGCCAGGCACAGUGGCUCAUGCCUAUAAUCCCAGCAUUUUGGGAGGCCAAGGCGGGUUCCUCUUAUUUUAAGGUCAGCUGAUAUUAGCAACCCUAAUUCUCUUUUGCCUUAUAACUGACAUAUUCGCAGGUACACCAUAAGAUCCUAAUGCAGCCAAGGCUAACAAAUAUAUUUUAAGAAACACUCAAAAAAAAUUUAAUAAGAAAACAAAAGUCAGCCACAAUUCCAUCAACCCAAAAUAACCAGUGUGAAUAUUUUGGUGUCCCAGCUACUCAGGAGGAUGAGGCAGGAGAAUGGUGUGAACCGGAGAGGCGGAGCUUGCAGUGAGCCAAGAUUGUGCCACUGCAGUCUAGCCUGGGCAACAGAGGGAGACUCCAUUACAAAAAAAAAAAAAAAAGGAAAGAGUCAGAUAAAGGCAGCAAAAUGCAGUCUCAUUCUCACCCCCAGGCUGCUGGUGUGACUUGAAGAAACCCUGGUGAAACUAGACUUACAUUUGUCCCAAUUUCUUCCAUCGCUUUCUCAUAGCUCCACUUUUAUAACACCCAAUCUCUUAUUCUUUCUUUUCAUCCUGCAGCACCCUCUGCAUAUAGAAAAGCUCAUAAGUCAUUCACAACCAGAGUUGCAGAUGUCAGUCCGCUGGUUGAAAUCAUUUUGCGGAAGUUCAAUGAAAGCCAAAUAUUUGUCUGAAAGACGGGCUUUUCAGUUUAAUUGCUGGUGGUUACAAUUAUCUCCACAGGCACUCAGGUUAUUUUAACCUACCGGUGAAUUCUCAAUCCACCAUUACACAAAUGUCAACCGUUACUGUGGAUGUGUCUAUUAGAGAAAUUUAAAGUAGCAUCUCCGUGAUCAUGCGCCUCUCUGGCGUGCACUUGGACCUUGAGGUCGGUGCUAAGAGUUACUGGAGGCAGAGCGAGGGCCAGGGCCAGGCAGGCCCAUUUGCAUCCCAUCAAGCCUCCACACAGAGAAGAUUGCUGGUCUUGGCAAGUAUUAAAAACACAGAGUUUGUAAAUGCUGUUUUCUGUGAUCACGGCAAUAUGGUGGCCGAGAGGGAGAGGUGGACUUUUCAAAGCAGAUUUGUGCGAUCUAAGCUAAGUGCCAAUCACAGCGGCUUCCUCCUGGCUGCUGAGUCCUG
rnacentral:lncRNA from 1 species